rnacentral:lncRNA from 1 species
UCCACCAUUAGUCCAUUUUUAAUCGGCGUAGUUUUGAGUUUGUUGAUUAGUUGUACAAAAUAAGGAUUCACAACCCAAUUAAAAUUUUUAACACCAAGAAUAUCGAUUAGCUCUACAUCAAUGAAAGAUUUAGUUGGACUAAACAGCUCAACUUCAUCCUCACAUUGAAUAAGUUCAUUAAGUGGUGUGAUCAAUUCUUGUGUCAGGUUUUUGUGGUCCUCACUGAUAUGUUCAACCUCAAAACUAUUGGGUUCGCUCUCU